ensembl:snRNA U6 U6 spliceosomal RNA
GUGCUCACAUUGGCAAUACAUAUACGAAAAUUGGAAUGGUACAGAGAUUAGCGUGAUCUCUGGACAAGGCUGACACACAAAUUUGUGAAGUAUUCCAUAUUAAA